UCUGUGGGAUCCUCUGUUUUCCCGUCCUUUCUCAGUGGUUGGUUUUAGUAAGGGGCAAACAGAGAGAGGCAUGGGAAACCAACCACGGGCACAUCAGGGAUGCCACCCUUGGGCAGAGUUUGUCUGUCUGAUGAGCUGAAGGGGGAGCGAGGGCUGCAAGCUCCCUCUGGCUGCCUCACAGGCUACAAUAAUGCCUUUGCUUUGUAGCUUUGGAGUGGGCAAAGGGCUCCCAUCCGGGAGAGCUCCUUGAGAUGUGGGGGGCUCCGGGGGUUUAGGUGAGUAUCAGACCCUUCCAAUAACAGUCUGCGGGGAUCACACUUUCCCUUCCUGUGUUUUGGCUCCACCCCUGAAGAAACUGGCCCCUUCAAGGGAAAUGAGUCAUAGUCCCCAGUCAUGGGAUCUGAAAGCGGGUUUGGACUCCCACUCUUAACUCCCCACUCCUUCUCCAGCUCCUUCCGGUGCUGAUCUGAUCAGAUCCCCUGUCUCUACUCAUACAAGAAGGAUUCUGAGAAGGGGUCCGGAGACUUCACCAGACUGGCAAAAGGGUCCAGGACACACAAAGAAGGUUAAGAAAGGCUUUCCCUAGGCUGCCUCACUGUUUAGCUCUCUCAGUCUGAGAUGACCCAUUUCCAAGGAAGCAGAAGGGGGCCUGGCCAUAGGUCCCCAGGCCUGGAACCUCUUGGACACAGCUCUCCCACUGAAAGGCCCCUCAAGUCCACAGGAACAGGGCCUGGCCACCUCCCAGCUCUCCAGAUACUUCUAAACAGUCAUCGGGAGUUUAUCUUGAGGAGAGUCACUGAGGGUCAUCUAAAUGCAGCCCUGGAUGCUCUACGUUCCUGCCAGGCUCUGUCUCGGCCCAACUACGAGGCGAUCUGCUCGGCCCCCACGCUGACUGCCCGAAUCCGGGCCCUGCUGGACACCUGCCUCUCCUUAGGGGAAGAGGCUGCUCAGGUGGCUAUGGCUGUGCUCCUGGCUCCCCCAAGACAGCGAGUCAGGGGCUUGGCUACAACAAGCUAUUUGAGACCCCUGAGGCAGGGACCUUAAGCACUUGGAACGGUCCAUGGAGUCAUCAGGGGCGGGGGACAGAGCAUCGAACCUUGAGUUGGGAAACCCAAGCUGAAGUUUCCACUGUUUUGUUCCUUAUCCAUUGUGCAAACUUGAGCAAGUCGUUGACCCUUCUGGGGGCCUCAGUUUCCUCAUCUGUGAAAUGGGGUUGCUCUAGACAAACCCUUCCAGAUUUGGAGUUUGCCAUUUGGAGUCUGUGAGUUCUGGGCACAACACUGGCAUGCUUGGCCACUGACAGUGGGGAGGGACAGUGAGUUUGCCAGGCAGGGUAGGAGUGGCACAGAACCAGCAGAGAGGAGAGAAGGGAUAGUGGUAGGAAAAGGGAGGUGUGAGACCUACCUUGUUUCUACAGAAGCUCUCUAUUCAUCCUUCAAGGCUUACCCCCCCCCCCCCCGAAAAAAAAAAAAAAGCCCUUUCUGGCUGUUCCUGCCUCACUGACCUUCUCCUUUGCUAAGGCAGUGAAAGCACAACAGAAAGAUCAUGGAAUCCAAAGGCAGAGGGAACUGGGUUUAAAUUUGAUCUCAGAUGCCUUCUACUGUGUGAUCUUGGUCAUGUUAUUGUACAUCUCUGAGCGUUAGUUUCCUUAUGUGAAAAAUGAAGUGUGAGACAAAUGACUAUUAAUAACCAGUUAUUAAUAUGCGGGGAGGAGGAUCCAGGGUUUUUCCCCUUUCUGUUUUCUCAUUCAAAGCCCAGUUCUUGUGAAGGGGUUAGACUCAUGGCCUCUGAGGUCCUUUCUUACUUUAGAUCCUAGGAUCUCUGGAAACCAGUCUUUUUUUUUUCUUUUUCCUUUUUUGGUGAGGCAAUUGGGGUUAAGUGACUUGCCCUGAGUCACACAGCUAGUAAGUGUCAAGUGUCUGAGGCCGGAUUUGAACUCAAGUCAUCCUGACUCCAGGGCCAAUGCUCUAUCCACUGCGCCACCUAGCUGCCCCUCUGGAUACUAGUCUUGCUGUCUAACCCAAUCUUAGGGGCAACUUUGUGGGCCUGAAGUCAGAAAGACCUGAGUUUAAAUUCUGCCUCAGAUACUUACUAACUGUAUGACCACUUAAUCUCUAUAAGCCUCACUUUCCUCUUCCGUAAACAAUGAUGAUAAUGGCACCCACCACACAGGGCUGUUGUGAGGACCAAAUGAGAUAACAUCUGUAAAGUACUUUGAGAGCCAUAAAGAACUACAUAAACGCUAGUAUUUAUUAAAAUAGUCUCUAAGUAGGUGGCAAGGAUGGGGAACCUUAGUGGGUCUUGGCAUGCUAUAUGGGGAAUGGAAACGCCUGCUCAUGUGUCUCCCACAUCUUUCCAUGUUAAAGAAAUGUCAGUAACUACAGGUAUAUUUCAAUAACCACUGCGGGGAAAAUAGUAUUUACACAGGACACACAGGGCAGAAUGUCUUCUAUGCUUUGCUCAUACCGUGCCUUCUCUGGGGCCUGGGGAAAACUAUUAGAAGUCAGAAUAUGACUUUUCAGGUUCCUUACAGCUCUAGAUUCUAUAAACUCCUACUAGAAUGUAAGCUUCUGAGGGUAGACUGCCAGAUUUGGGAAUCUUUGUGUCCUCUUACCUAGUGACCCAUGAAGUGAAUUAAAUUGUCAGAAUUCAGAGAUGAGUCAGAAUAAACCCUCUUGCUUCCAUGAGCUGACGCUGAGUGAAGUGAGCAGAACCAGGAGAACAUUGUCCACAGUAACAGUAACAUUGUGUAAUGAUCAACUUUGAUGGAUUUAGUUCUUCUCAGCAAUACAAUGAUCCAAGACAACUCCAAAGGACUCAUAAUGGAAAAUGCUCACAUCCAGAAAAAGAACUGUGGAGUCUGGAUGAAGACUGAGGAAUACUAUUAUUUUCACCUUUUUGGGGGUUGUUUUUUCUGUUAUGAUUUUUCCCUUUUCUUCUGAUUUUUCUUUCACAACAUGACUAAUGUGGAAAUAUGUUUAACGUGACAGUACUAUAUAAUAUAUGCCAGAUUGCUUGCUGUCUUGGAGGGGGGAGGGAGAGAAAUUUGGAAUUCAAAAUCUUAUAAAAAUGAAUGUUGAAAGCUAUCUUUACAUGUAAUUAGGAAA